GCCAUUCUCAGGUGUAAACGCCGGUUCUCGUUCAAUCAGCGAAGUUAAGCAACGUCGAGACUGAUAUAUACCUUGAUGGGUAACCGCUUGCGAAUACCAGGUGAUGUAUG